GCGUCGGUGGUGCAACGGUUUAGCACAUAUUUCGGGAAAGAUUAAGAUCUGAGUUUGAAUCCCGGCUGACGCA